AAAUGUAUUGCACAGAAGAAGAAGAAGAAGGUUGAGGAAAGGGCAGGGAGAAAGACAAAAGGGAGGUUAGGAAAAACAGGGAGACAAAGGGAGGGAGUGCAUAUGCAGCCUCUCUUCUUUGGAUCUCUAAACCAUAAAAUUGUAGUAUAUGUUUGAUCCAAAAAACAACCCCUUUCUUCUGAAUUUACCAUUUAUUUUUCCUUGCCUCUUCUUCAAUCACUAUUGUCCCUCCAUUACUUGAACAAAACAUAAGGCUUGAUAUCUAAAAAACAUAUACAUCUUAUUUUGAAGAUUUUACUCCCCACUAAUCUUCAGUCG
rnacentral:lncRNA from 1 species